CUUCUUCAACAACUGCAGCCACCUCGGUAGCUCGCCAGACAACAAAGUCGGAACAUUCAAGUUCUUUGGGACAAUUUUGUGGUUUAUUUGCCACUAUGAUUUAAACAUACGUAUGUGGAAACAACUAGCUACCCCAUUUAAUUUAAUAUUUACGUUGUAAGUCAACUAGAUGGCUGGUUAAGUUAGCACUAGUCUAGUCGCCAAUGCUAACUAGCUAUUAUCCCCGACCAUGAGUUCACUAAACUACUAUCCUCCUGCUGAAGAAGAGGGGGUCUGCUGGACGGAGAAAGAAGCUCUCGGUCAAUGAGGAGGCGGAAGAGAAAGAUGUUUACAAUACAAAAACAAGUAGAGGGUGAGGCUGUUACAGUGAAAGAAGAGGAAGAAGCCUUCAGAGGAGGAGGAUGUUACUGCAAAAGAAAAUGCAGUUUUGAGUGGAGGAUGAAGUGAAAGAAGAUGAAGAAGUUUUAGGAAUGAAGGAUGAAGAGGGGGAGAUUACUGUCACAUUAGAGGACGAAGAAGAGAAGACUGGAGAACUGAUUAACACCAGUAAAUACAGAGAGAGAUGGGACAAUCGUGGAUCCUUUGUGGAGCCUCAACAACAUGAUGCUGACGAGGGAGAGAAAAGUCUCUCCGCAUCAGAACAACUCAAGAAAUACCAGCAGAGACCCACCGGGAAGAAAUCUCACUGCUGCUCUGACUGUGGGAAAAUAUUAAACUCUUCAGUAAAACUUAAAAUACAUCAAAUAAUUCACACAGGAGAGAAACCUUUUGGCUGUGAUCAAUGUGGGAAGAGUUUUACUCAGCUAAACAGCCUGAUAGUACACCAGCGGACACACACAAUUCUACACAAAUUACCUUCAUAAUAGCAAAGAACAGAUGUGUCUGAGGGGAAAAUAACUGUCAUACAGCCAAAAGAGGUGAGAAAUUAAACCAAUACCAGUGGACAAUUUUCACUAAUGUAAAUAAACAUAGAUGAUGGAACAUAUUCCCUUUUGCUGACGUGAUGAACCACUAAGGGGACAUAAAUAUUUACCAUGUAAACAAUCUGUGACCUCAAAAAUCACUAUUUUAGUAGUUCAUUAAAGUAAAUAAGGCUUUAGGACUGCUGAAUACCAACUUUCAAUCACUUAGAUCAUGUAUUUUCAGAUAGAGAUACAUCCAUGGGACGUCCAUAGCCCAUUGAAGUUGACAUUUAAAAUUGUUACGGUAGGGUUUAGGGUAGGGAUGUCCCAAGGAUCCUGGAUGUGCAUUCUUCUGUCUCUUACAUAGCAGGUGAUGGGUUCUGACUUUAUGAAAUAUCCUUAUGUGAAAUAGAAUGAAACAAUAAUGUAUGUUGAUGCUAAUAUGAUGUAAGAGAGAAUAAAGUAGAUGGCGCACGUCAAAGUAAUUGAUUUAUGACCCUGUGUCAUGAUGAUGACGUGUACAUGUCCAAAUAUGGGCCUCCGGCCAGGACAUCCUGUGGUCACGUGUUAGAGGGUGUGUGUUAUUUUAUAUCUAUAUUGCGUCCUUUGAAGUAGUCAUGGUGAUUGAUGUCUAGGGGCCUGGUUGAACUGGGGGGGUUGAGUGUUUGAACGUGUAUGUCCCCCACCCCCAGUUUUAUUGCCCUUAUGGUUGUUAUCUAUGAAGCAGGAAUGUGUGUGUGUGUGUUAGAAACAAGGAAUGUGGGUGUGUGUGUGUGUGUUAGAAACAAGGUCCCUUGGCAUUGUAUCCAUUUCAAGCUUUAAACAACAAUUAAACAGCCAUCUAAAUAA